rnacentral:misc_RNA from 1 species
UACGUAGGGACCGAGCGUUGUCCGGAGUUACUGGGCGUAAAGGGCGCGCAGGCGGUAGGCCGCGUCGGGUGUGAAAGCCCUCCGCUCAACGGAGGAGAGUCGCUCGAAACGGGCUUACUGGAGGCAGGGAGAGGUCGGUGGAAUUCCCGGUGUAGUGGUGAUAUGCGUAGAGAUCGGGAGGAACACCAGUGGCGAAGGCGGCCGACUGGACCUGUCCUGACGCUGAGGCGCGAAGGCGUGGGGAGCGAACGGG